GCAGGACAAUGAAGCUGACGGUGACCGUAAUUGCUCUUGCCGUUGUUGGCGUAUUGCUGCAAGGAGGCACGGCCGCACCUGCUGGUCAGCUCUCCGGAGCGUCGUCUGAGGAAGCCCAACGCUCGGGCAUUCGCUACGCCGAUGACGCCGUAGCCCGUGUAUCUGUUGCUUGUGUGAACAACCACUGCGUCACGUCACCGUUGAAGAAAUAAGUGAAAGCCUUGAAAAAAAAAAGUAUUCAUGAUUGCAAUGCAACCUUGGCUGCUGCCGUUUGCUUUCGGAAGCUGAAGAUGGUUUUACUGCGGCGCAGCGUGCAAUGAAGUAUUUGGCUGAGCUCUGCUGGUGAGGGUGAAAUAAAUGGAAUUGUAAAUAGUGAA